UACAGAGGGGGCAAGCGUUGUUCGGAAUUACUGGGCGUAAAGGGCGCGUAGGCGGCCGCCUGAGUCAGACGUGAAAUCCCUCGGCUCAACCGGGGAACUGCGUCUGAUACUGGGUGGCUUGAAUCCGGGAGAGGGAUGCGGAAUUCCAGGUGUAGCGGUGAAAUGCGUAGAUAUCUGGAGGAACACCGGUGGCGAAGGCGGCAUCCUGGACCGGCAUUGACGCUGAGGCGCGAAAGCCAGGGGAGCAAACGGG
rnacentral:rRNA from 1 species